UGCCAGCAGCCGCGGUAAUACGGAGGGUGCAAGCGUUAAUCGGAAUUACUGGGCGUAAAGCAUGCGUAGGCGGUUUGGAAAGUUGGAAGUGAAAUCCCGGGGCUCAACCUCGGAAUUGCUUUCAAAACUAUCAAACUAGAGUAUGGUAGGGGAUAGUAGAAUUCCUAGUGUAGGGGUGAAAUCCGUAGAUAUUAGGAGGAAUACCAGAGGCGAAGGCGACUAUCUGGGCCAUUACUGACGCUAAGGCACGAAAGCGUGGGGAGCGAACGGGAUUGGAUA
rnacentral:rRNA from 1 species